GGUUUUUCCUUUUGCUUUUUUUUAAAUUAUGGAAACACUAUCUUAGCAGCCUGAAAAAUAGUUUUUAGAAAUGUCUUAAUUUCACCUUGUUACAGCAUUUUAUAUAUAAUGAAACUAUAUAUUUUUUUGCAUAGUGUUUUUGCCCAUUUGAAAAUGUUCCUUUUAUUAAUCAUUUUUUAUUUUUGAAAGGCACCAUGUUUAGAUGCACUUUUAAACUUAUUCUUCUUUUGAUAUAUUCACAAACUACCAAGAACUUAAAAAAUGAUAUAUAACAUAAAGAAUCAUAUUAAAUAUAAAACUUUUUCUUUUUUGUCUUUCUCAUUUUUAUCGGUACCAGGGAUCGAACUCACGACUGCCUGCUUGCAAGGCAGGCACUUAUGCCGCUGAGCUAAAUCCCCAGCCCCCAAAUAUAAAACUUUUAAGAUUAUUUUAUUUGUACAUGUUAUAGUUCACGCAGUUUACAGUUCUCUUAUGGAGUGCGUACAUGUACGUAAAACACAGCAACAUAGCUUUUUAAAAAAUCUUCCCUUCCCUUCCUUUCCCUUUUUCCUCCUCCUCUAUCCCAUUCUUCUAUCCCAUUCCAAAUCCUGUAUCCCAUUUUUUCAUUCUUGUUGAUACUGUUGUAGCUCAUAUUUAUGACCUAUAAUGUUUACAUUUAUUGAGGUUAUUAGGUUCCUGUCCAUGACAUAUCCUUAUUCUGCUUAUUUUCCUCUUCACCCCUUAUGCUUUCCCCCUUGGGCCAGUUCCCUAUUGCAAGAGAUUCCUUUUCUUUUACCCUUCCCUAUAUCCUUAUUAUUCUCGGUUUGUACUUUGCCUUACUCAAAUGAAAGAUAACAUAUGGUAUAUUAGCUUGUGUGACUGAUUUCUUUCACCCAACAUUGUAUUUUCAGGUACAUCUAUUUUCCUACAAAUGCCUCAAAUCUGUCAAAUCUUUAUAGCAGAGAAAUAGUCCAUUACAUGUAGAUAUACUUUUUUUUAAUAUAAUCACCUGUAGGUGGAUGUACAUGGUUCCAGGAUUUAGCUAUACCAGUUAUGCUGCUAUAAACACUAGUAUACAUGUAUCCUGUAAUAUACUGUCUUAAGCUCUUUAGGGAAGGUACCAAACAAGGAUAGUUGGGUCAUAUGUAAUUUCUAACUUCAGUUGUUUGAAAAAUCUUCAUACUGAUUUCCAUAAUGAUGGUAAUAGGCAAGGAUUUGUUUAGAAAAUUCUUGCCAACACCUACAUUUUCAAGUGUUUUAUCUUCCAGUAGGUUUAUUGUUUCUGUGUUAAUGUUUAAAUCUUCUACAUAUUGAUAACCAGUUUUCCCAGUACCACUUGUUGAAUAGGCUAUUGUUAUGCCUUGCAUAUAGAUGUCCCCCCAGAGCCUCAUGCAGUCAUGGGUGGGGCUCUUUGGAGCUUUUUGGAGGCUUUUUGAAGCCUCAUGCAGUCAUAGGGUAUGUGAUGCUAGGAUCAAGGGUAUGAUGCUGGAUUCAAGGAUGUGAUGCUGAGAUUAAUUUGUGGUGUGGUGCUUAGAUUAACUGUGCUAUCUUCGUUGUCAGUACUAUCCACAAUAAGGGUGGGUAGCCUGUAUAGGAUAUGAUUGACAGAAAGGGGGUUGCUGCUUUUGCUUACUGGUUCUUUGCUGCUUUGAUACCUUCUGCCUACCAAGACCUGUUUCUCCUCUGUGAUGCCCCUCUGCUAUAUCACCCCACCUUGGAGCCAGCCAACUGUGUACUAAAACCUUUACAAACGAUUAACUAAAUAAAAUAAACCUUUCCUCCUUUAACUCUGGGUGUGAAGUAUUUUGUCUCAGCAAUGAGAAAAGUAUCUAAAACCUUGAGCAGGUGCUUAUGUUACAGAGUUAAAUCUCCAGCCCCUGAAGCAUCUAUCUUAAUAAAACAAAAACUGUUGAAAUUAAAAGAUCAAGUAAACACUAAUACAAUCAGAGUAGGGAGGUUUGAAGUAAGGAAUAGUGGUAGAUGAGAAUAAAAGGGUGACGUGGAUUCUGAUUGUAUUGGAGUACUUUGAGUUGAGUUGAAGGAUUUGUACUGAGAGCUUUCAGAGGAUAUUUGUGGGGGAAAGAGUGAGAUAUGGGAGAAAGGAGGUUUAAUUAGUGAUUGAGGAAAGCUAUGUGGUUGUCAGAGCUUGCUGACAGGGAAGACAAACAAUAUGCUUGGUAAAUAUAGAAGAGCCGAAGCUUUAGAAUGGGGAAGACAAGGAAUAAUAUUGGAGAAGAUAGGAGUGACUGUGAGGAGGGAGGUAAGUAUAAUUUAAAAACUUGGGGAGUUUAUAUGUUUGGAAAAGAAUAAAGAAAUAUGUCAAUAAUAUUGUCUCAGGAGUUUGAGGUGAAGAAGCUAGGUAGGGAUCUGAAAUGAGAGAGAAAAGCUAAAUCAGAGUUCAUGAGAGGUCUAGUGGGGAACAUACAUUGUUUCCAGUGAGACACUGCAUAUGUGAUUCCCAGUAGCUUCUUUGCAAGAAAGUCUAAAUCCUCUGACACCAAUAACUCCUCUGAUGCCUGUAUCACAACACUGAAACUAACUCAGACUCAGACUUCUCUUUACUUGGUUGUAGAAAUUCUUGCAGAAAACAGGUUUUGGGGUUAAGAACUCUAUUAUCUCCUUCCCCCAGUGUGAUGGUGGCUUUAGCAGACAGAUUCACUGGCAAUAAAUUGUCCUCUGAGUUAGAAUUAUUCCUAAGCAAUCAAAUCAGCUAAUCUGUUAGAUUAACAGACUAAUCCAUUAAGGUGGUGUCUAUUAGGUUGGUUGAGAAAUAACGUACCGUGAGAUUCUGCUUUGGGCCUCUCACUAGCCCAAAACACAGUUUUGCGUAAGCAUUGUAAGAAUCCAAGUCUUGAUCCACAGUUAAUGUGCAGUAAAUGUAAUGACUAUGUCCCUCUAAUGAUGAAAAACAGCAUUGAACAGUAAUUCAGUUAUCUAAAGCAUGGGGGAUGGUCCAGGUAAUGCCAGACUAGGGAAGGGAAGAGAGUAAAGAAAAAAAAAAAGAGUCCUCCCCACCCCCUUUCUUAAGUCCUCUGCUCUGUGAUAUGGGAAAGAAGAAACAGGAGGGAGGCAAAGGACCCUAGUGUUGGUAAGGGUGUGCUACAUAUUUAGAAGGGAUAACAGGGAAAACUGGAACAAAAUUGGUAGUGGGAAAUCAGGAUGGGAAAAGAUUCUAUGACUGAUGUAGAUAUUAGAGAAAAGGUUAAAAGGGAGGCAAA